UGCAAUUAUUUCUACUGCCUUGAUUCCAAUGAUUAUGAAUGUAAGCCGUAUGAUUCUUUGGUCACCCAUCAGCACCAUAUGUGGUACUGCAAGGGAUAUUGACUUACUUUACAACUUGUUUCUCAGUUGUUUAUUUUAAAAUUUUCUUCUGCACAUUCCAGGGAUGCAUGGGACAUGGCUGCUGAAAUUUGCCUUUCUCAGCUUCCAUCGUUGGUUGAGGAUCGUAAUGCAGAGUUUCAGGUAUGAUCAUGGGUGCAGCAACUUCAACUGAAAAGUACUUGUGCAGGUCUGGAGUAGGUCAAUCAAGAAGCUCUGCUGGAAUUAAACUGACAAGUAAUUGUAGUAUGCUUGUAGUUAAAGUUUCUUAUAGUGAACAUCAUGUUGUUUAUUCGGUAGAAGUUUCAAAAAUUUUACUUUUUAGAAGAAAGUGUAUUGUAGUCAUUAGAUUGGGUUUUCAAAGAUUGAUUAUGAACAUUUUGAUCAAAUGAAAAGUUCUCUUAUUAAUGUUUUUGAACUCAAAAACAA